rfam:Heterocephalus glaber contig98104, whole genome shotgun sequence.
GGAUGUGAGGGUGAUCUAGCUGCAACAUCUGUCACCCCAUUGAUUGCCAGGGUUGAUUCAGCUGAUCUGGCUGGCUAGGCGGGUGUCCCCUUCCUCCCUCACCGUCACC